AAAGAAAGUAAUAAACAUGAAAUAUCCGUAUGAGUGAAAAUUGAUUCAACUUUCGUUGUCUGAGGGCUAAAUAGCCAGCUUUAUACACCAAUAGAAGGUUUUUACACCAUUGCAAUAAUUACAUUAACUUAAAAGUGUAUAUAUUCAACAGUGUGUGUUGUGUAUCGAUCUUUGUUUCCUGGUAGUCGUCUAAUUCUUCAUAAUAGUACACCAUUAAGUAGAAAACGCGAACGAGCUACAAUUCAAUGGGGCUAUAAGUCGCUCGCGAUGAGGGUAAAAUAGCAGCGAAAAGUUUGCAGGUGUCGAGCGAGUCGUCGCGGCACGUAAGCCAACAGACGGGUCCCGAGUUCAUCAAAUGCUGCCGUAUCUUUUAAAUAAACAUUUACCGAACGAUCCAAGGAAACAAGGGAAUAAUUUUCGUUAGAAAAUCCAGUAACGCCUUACGCUUCUUUCGCCAUUAGUAUUACCAAUAGUAAAUUUUGCGAGAAAGUUUGCAAAGUAACGGAAAAUUGGUACUUUUGAUUUACGGUCCGAACACUUUUGCUCGAUAUUUGCCACAAGGUCGUGGGAAUACAUAAAAACCGAUAGUAGUACAAAAGGAAGGGUUGUCAUUUGCAUUUGCCACGAGUGACCCUUUUCAGGCUCUCAACGUCCAUCCAUGGAAAACGGAAAUCAAUUUGAUCCGCUGCGGACCGCUUGCCAAGAUUCUGUACACAACUUUACACUUUACGAAGUCUGGAAAAUAUUUCAAAAUUUUCCGACUAAAACAGGGAAAUGUUCUUCGAUCAUAACCUUGAAGAUAUAAUAAAAACAACAACAUAAGAAUACAAAUACUUUUACGGACCAUAACAUUUCCAUCCUUUUAAUAUUAAAUAAUAUUAAACCAUGGAAAUAUCGGAGAUGUUAAGUCACCGGACAUCAAACUGAGAAGACGAAGAAAAAUGUGCUUAUCGCGCUUCUUCUUUCCUGAGAUCUCCGAACGAGACGUUCUAACUAUUAACACUUCUUGCGCAAUAGUAACGACGGCCUUCGUUUCCCAUUAAGAAGCACGGCAAUAAACAGGAGAAAAAGUGUUGGUUAAGACAGGAAGGUAGAGAAUUGAUAGAUCGAGAGGGGUCCAGAGGCGGUAAAACGCGGUUGUAAAUCGGAUUCGCAGCGGGACCGUUAUCCGAACCGAUGUUACUGAACGGUACUUUUCUCCAAAACGGAGUACCGUCGCUGUAUAACCGCGGCUUCGGGCAUAAAUCAAUUAAAUUAUAAAUUACUAUACAGAAGUUGAGCAAAACGACCACCUGUUGAGGACAGCAGCAGAGAGAGAGAGAGAGAGAAAGAGAAGGUAGAAGCGAAAAGGGGCAAGUAAGGGGGGUGGCGGUGGGGAGGCCAGCUAUCUCGUAAAUUCUCCGCUCCUGCCCCGCUGCUGUAUCCAUGUGUAGAAGUGUUUACUCCUUACUUCCUUUCUUCUUUCAUCGUGAUCUCCUUCUAGAAAGUUAUUUACGAGCAGCCUAUUGUUGCCACCUGUGUUACGAAUGGCACGCUAAUUGGACUGUUGCGUUUGCCGCCUUUGUUUCAUUUACGUACGACGAGUCGCGCCUUUAAAUUAACUUAUACAUAGCGUUUUUGUCGAUUUAAAAUUGAGUGACAGGUUAAUUCCGUGAAUGAAUACUAAUGAUUCGUUGAUUGAUGAACAUUGUAAUCUAUUAGGGUAAUAUAUGGCUUUAAAUAUAGUUUUUUCAGUGA